rnacentral:tRNA from 1 species
GGUAGCAGAACUCGAGGGUAGAGUAUCUUCCUUUUAAGAAUAUAGUCCUGGUUCGAGUCCAGGUGCUACCA